rnacentral:lncRNA from 10 species
AUUCAAUUCAGCCUCAACGAGGUCACUGCUGCUGGGGAGAGGCAGAGGAGCGCACACCAGUUACUGUUGCAGAGGGGAUAUCUUCACAGCAAGGGAUAUUUAGAAAGGAAAUUAUUUUGAAAAGCUUAUGCUAACCUUAGCCAAACAUGCUAGUGUCCCAGAAUUAUGGCCUCCUGCUUGACUUCUCACUGGAACGUCGUAUGUGAAUUCUCUUCUCCUUGUUUCAGCAUCUCAACCUGCAGAUACAUCUCAAAGGCCCCUUCAGCCGAUGUCCUCAGUGCCCUUGACACAGCCCCUUGGCACUUGCCUUCCACACACAUGCUGCUGCACCAGUUUCCUCCUGGUAGCAUCUUCCUUUCCGCCUGAGGAUUUCCCAGGCAUCCUGCCUCCAAGAAAGUCAGAAGUCAGUGCCUUCCUGAGAGCCGGUGAGAGCUCCGUCUCCCUUGGGCAAGUGGUGCUGAUGCCUGUUCCCUGCAUCCAUCUCUCAGAAGCCACAGCAGAACUGAGCUCCAGGGGCCACUGCGAGAAGCAUUUAUGGAGCUCGUGGAGUGAGGCAUCUCUUUAAUCCCUUCAGUAAGUCAGUGUGGGCCAAGGAGUCUGAGGAUCAGAGACCUUGUGACUUUUUAAGUGAAGAUUUACUAUGUGCUGGGGCCCAUUGUGUUUUAUUUUAUUGACUCGUCCCAAGCUCUAAGAGGGAGAGACCUUGAUUGUCCCAAUUUCACUGACACAGUUUGGGAAGGUUAAAACAUGAUGAAAGGAAAUAGACUGGAAUGAUACAGUAAUAUGGAAUUGAGCAUUUUCACCAACAUUUUUACAUGUUUUAAAAUGUCAUUUUCUGGCCAGGGGUGGUGGCUCACGCCUGUAACCCCAGCACUUUGGGAAGCUGAGGCUGGUGGAUCACUUGAGGCCAGGAGUUUGUGACCAGCCUGGCCAACACAGUGAAACCAUGUUUCUACUAAAAAUAUAAAAAAAUGGCUUGGUGUGGCCGUGCGCACUUUAAUACCAGGUACUUGGAAGGCCGAGGCAUGAGAAUCACUUGAAACUGGGA